rnacentral:misc_RNA from 1 species
GAUGAAGAAGCAGCGAAAUGCGAUAAGUAAUGUGAAUUGCAGAAUUCAGUGAAUCAUCGAAUCUUUGAACGCACCUUGCGCCCUUUGGCCAUUCCGAAGGGCAUGCCUGUUUGAGUAUCAUGAACACCUCAACUCUUUAUGGUUUUCCAUGAUGAGCUUGGACUCUGGGGGUUUUGCUGGCUCACAGUCGGCUCCUCUAAAAUGAAUCAGCUUACCAGUGUUUGGUGGGUAUCAUGGGUGUGAUAACUAUCUACGCUUGUGGUUUUUCCACCAGGUAACCUUCAGCAGUGGAGGUUCGCUGGAGCUCAUAGAUGUCUCUCCUCAGUGAGGACAGCCCUUUGAAUGUUUGAUCUCAAAUCAGGUAGGACUACCCGCUGAACUUAAGCAUAUCAAUAAGCGGAGGA